AUUUUGGACAAUGGGCGCAAGCCUGAUCCAGCCAUGCCGCGUGAGUGAAGAAGGCCUUCGGGUUGUAAAGCUCUUUCGCAAGGAAAGAAAACUUACCUAUUAAUACUAGGUGAGGUUGACGGUACCUUGAUAAGAAGCACCGGCUAACUACGUGCCAGCAGCCGCGGUAAUACGUAGGGUGCGAGCGUUAAUCGGAAUUACUGGGCGUAAAGCGUGCGCAGGCGGUUUUGUAAGUCAGAUGUGAAAUCCCCGGGCUCAACCUGGGAACUGCGUUUGAAACUACAAGGCUAGAGUGUAGAAGAGGGGGGUAGAAUUCCACGUGUAGCAGUGAAAUGCGUAGAGAUGUGGAGGAAUACCGAUGGCGAAGGCAGCCCCCUGGGCUAACACUGACGCUCAUGCACGAAAGCGUGGGGAGCAAACAGG
rnacentral:rRNA from 1 species